UAGGGGAUCAAGACUCGCUCUGAAUAUUUUACAAACUUGACAAUGUCACUUGACCUAAGGAUAUGUGAUUGGUUUUGUCAGUUACUUGCCAAAUGUAAUGGAAGGUUUAUUCAAAUCAUUCCAUUUUCCCCUACCAAUAAAAUGAUUUCCAUGAAAUAUGAAAGAACCUUAGUGAGCGCGCUCACAUACCCCACGUCCCCACAAUGUCAUUGGAGAAAUAAAAUAAGUGUAAGAAAAAAAAAUUGUAUCAAAAAAAAAAAAUUGAAUCAUAAUUUCCUGUCAAUAUGCACAUCUACGUAGUCUGUCCUUAUUAUCUGAAAAGGUUUCAUGAAAUUCUGUUGUGUGGUUUGAGAGGAGUUGCGAUGACAAAAGGUUGCAGUAGUAUAUUGGGCAAAUAAGUUCAAAGGGGCAUAACUCCUGGAAAAAAAAUUGAAUCGUAAUUUCCUGUCGAUAUGCACAUCUACGUAGUAUGUCCUUAUUAUCUGAAAAGGUUUCAUAAAAUUCUGUUGUGUGGUUUGAGAGGAGUUGCGAUGACAAACUGUUGCAGUAGUAUAUUGGGCAAAUAAGUUCAAAGGGGCGUAACUCCAGGAAAAAAAAUUGAAUCAUAAUUUCCUGUCGAUAUGCACAACUACAUAGUAUGUCCUUAUUAUCUAAAAAGGUUUCGUGAAAUUCUGUUGUGUGGUUUGAGAGGAGUUGCGAUGACAAGAAACAGGACUGACGGACUGACGGACGGACAGACGGACGGACGGGUCAAAAACAUUAUACCCUCCGCAACUCGUUGCGUGGGGUAUAAAAACAAAUUUAUCAUUGCUACCACUUUAUUCAGCAUGUUUUAUUAUUUUCUCUUUUUUAAAAUGACCACUAAGAACCCAUAAGUACAACUUAUUUCUAUCUUUUAAACAGCCAACUACUGGGAGUACUGUGAAAAUGGGCACUGAUGUCUUUUCUAAAUGAUUAGCAAUACUAAUUCUUAAGAAAGAAGACAGAGCCAUACAGAAUACUACUGGACAUUUAACAGUCAUCCAUAACCAUCAUCACACAUACAAAGUAUGGUCCAUGUUGUAUUAUUUUUUUUAAUUAUUUAACUUAAUUCUGUCAACUUCAUUUAAAGUCAAAUACAUUGAUUGCUUGAGUACUGAGACAACAAAUCUAUUGUUUAGUAAAAUAUAUGAUUCACAUGGCUUGACACUUAAAGACUGAAGAUGAUUCAUUGACUGCUUGAUAACGAAGGAUAACAGUUUGGAUAUUGUGUUAUUUCAACAUUAGCACCAUGGUCCAUAAUCUUCAGCUGAAGUAAUGAGGUUAAAUUACUUGAAA